rnacentral:rRNA from 1 species
AUGGCUAUUGGUGGAGCAACAUAUGAGUAUGAUAUGGCUAUUGCUGCUAGACUGACACAAGUUCGAUCAUUUAUAUUGUUGGAGAAUCCCAUACCACCUUUUUUGUGGUUCAAGUAUCUCAUGGUGCUCAUCAUUGUUAGGGGAAAGGAUAUAGUUGACCUCACUGCUAUUAGCCAACUGUUUCAGCUGAGGUGUGUGAUGGUUAGAGUCGAUGGGAAAAUAGAGCUCCCUACUGAACUUGGUAAGCUUGUUUACUUGGAGACACUGGACAUACAGAAAUGCAGGCUGGUAAAGUGCAUCCCUUCAGAUAUAGUUCAUUUGCCCCGCCUGUCCUAUCUGGGUCUUCCAAAUUGUACAGACCUGCCGGAAGGUAUCGAGAAUAUGAAAUCACUGCGCACUCUGCAAGAGUUUGACCUGGAAAAGAUCUCCCUGAAGUAUAUUAUGGAUAUCAGCGAGCUGACCAAUCUGAGGGAACUGAGUGUGAAAAAAGAGUUCAGUUUGGGGACGCAAAAAGUUGAUGCUUUGGCCUUCUCCAUUGGAAAGCUCCGUAACCUCGAAUGUCUGCGCAUCUUUGGUUGCCAUCUUGAGAGUGAGAACCUGCAGCUGGGCUCAUUAUCCAAUCCUUUUCAACAUAUGGAGCGACUUUGCAUGAGAACAUGGUGGUUCUGCAGAGUUCCGAAAUGGAUGGAUGGUCUCCAUUGUCUGCGCGUCCUUGAGCUGCAGGUUGAGGAGACGUCAACUGAGGAGAUUCAUCUUCUUGGAGAGCUUCCCUCCCUCGUCUACCUCAACUUUGGAGCGGGUAAAAUCCCUGCUGAGAGAGCUAUAUUAGGCACAGGACUAUUCCUAGUUCUCGAGUAUUUUUAUUGUAGUUCUCGGAAAGACAUUACAGCGUACCUGGGGUUCGAAGCAGGGGCUAUGCCCAACUUACGAAUCCUUUGUCUCAGUGUGGUGCAUUGGGGUGGCACCAUACCAGUCGGAAUGGAGCACCUGUUGCACCUCCAGGAGAUCCGACUUGAUGGGGCCUUUCAUGAUGUUGUGUGCGCGUUCAAGGAGGCUUCGCUGGUGCACCCAAACCGCCCUUCCGUUAGUAGACUGGGCUCAAGCCUAGAAAUAAUGGGAAGAUGGUAG